rnacentral:rRNA from 1 species
UUCACGAUCCUGGCUCAGAUUGAACGCUGGCAGGAUGCUUUACACAUGCAAGUCGAACAUGGCAGCACGGACUUCGGUCUGGUGGCAGUGGCGAACGGGUGGUAAUGUAUCGGAACCUGAAUGGCGGGGAUAACUGCGAAAGCGUAGCUAAUGCCACCAUACGCCCUUCGAAAGGCAGGGGACCUUCGGGCCUCGCACAAUGAAACGGCCGAUAUCGGAUUAGCUAGUUGGUGGAGGUAACGGCUCGCAAGGGCGACAAAAUCGUAGCUGGUUGAAGGACGGCCAAACACACUGGGACUGAGACACGGCCCAGACUCCUACAGGGAGGCAGCAACAGUGGGGAAUUUUGGACAAUGGGGAAACCUGAUCCAGCCAUCCCGCGUGUGCGAUGAAGGCCUUCGGGUUGUAAAGCACUUUUGGCAGAGGAAAGAAACGGCACGGGAUAAACCCGUGCAACUGACAAUACCUGCAGAAUAACAAGCUCUUCAUUCAGCAACUGGUAUCAAUAAGUGCAAGCAUUAAUCAGGAAUUACUGGAGCGUAAAGCGUGCACCGGGAAGCGGUUCGGAAAGAAAGAUGUGAAAUCCCAGAGCUUAACUUUGGAACUGCAUUUUUAACUACCGAAGGCUUCCGAAGUGUGUCAGAGGGAGAGUGGAAUUCCCGCGAUAUGUGCAGUGAAAUGCGUCGAUAUGGAGGAACACCGAUGGCGAAGGCAGCCUCCUACUCGGAUGCUACCAGCGCUCAUGCACGAAAAGCGUAGAGGAGCAAACAGGAUUAGAUACCCUGGUAGUCCACGCCCUAAACGAUGUCAACUAGCUGUUGGGGCCUUCAGCGGGCCUUGGUAUGCCAGCUAACUGCGUAGGAUUGACCGCCUGGGGAAAUGCAGUCGCAAGAUUAAAACUCAAAGGAAUUGACGAGGGACCCGCACAAGCAGUGGAUGAUGUGGAUUAAUUCGAUGCAACACAAAACCACCUACCCUUGACGUGUCUGGAGUCGAAGAAGAUUUGGGAGUGCUCGCAAGGGAACCGGAACACGGGUGCUGCAUGGCUGUCGUCAGCUCGUGUCGUGAGAUGUUGGGUUAGUCCCGCAACGAGCGCAACCCAUUCGUGGAUUGCUACGAAAGGCACUCUAAUGGUUUCGGUGACAAACCGGAAGGUGAGGAUGACGUCAAGUCCUCAUGGCCCAUACUGGGUAGGGCUACGUCAUACAAUGAAUCGGGACGGAAGGUCGCUCAACCUGCGAGGGGAGCCAAUCAGAAACUAUGAUCAUGAGUCCGGAUCGCAGUCUGCAACUCGACUGCGUGAAGUCGGAAUCCGCUGGUAAUCGCGAGGAUCAGCAUGUCGCGGUGAAUACGUUCCCAGGUCUUGUACACACCGUCACACCAUGGGAGGUGGGUUUUACCGGAAAUGGUAGCCUAACCGUAGGAGGGCGAUUACCACGGUAGGAUUCAUGACUGGUGAAGUCGUAGCGCAAGGUAG